rnacentral:rRNA from 1 species
AGAGUUAGAUCCUGGCUCAGGACGAACGCUGGCGGCGCGCCUAACACAUGCAAGUCGAACGAGCGAGAGAGAGCCUGCUUUCUCAAGCGAGUGGCGAACGGGUGAGUAACGCGUGAGGAACCUGCCUCAAAGAGGGGGACAACAGUUGGAAACGACUGCUAAUACCGCAUAAGCCCACAGCUCGGCAUCGAGCAGAGGGAAAAGGAGCAAUCCGCUUUGAGAUGGCCUCGCGUCCGAUUAGCUAGUUGGUGAGGUAAUGGCCCACCAAGGCGACGAUCGGUAGCCGGACUGAGAGGUUGAACGGCCACAUUGGGACUGAGACACGGCCCAGACUCCUACGGGAGGCAGCAGUGGGGAAUAUUGCACAAUGGGGGAAACCCUGAUGCAGCGACGCCGCGUGGAGGAAGAAGGUCUUCGGAUUGUAAACUCCUGUUGUUGGGGAAGAUAAUGACGGUACCCAACAAGGAAGUGACGGCUAACUACGUGCCAGCAGCCGCGGUAAAACGUAGGUCACAAGCGUUGUCCGGAAUUACUGGGUGUAAAGGGAGCGCAGGCGGGAAGACAAGUUGGAAGUGAAAUCUAUGGGCUCAACCCAUAAACUGCUUUCAAAACUGUUUUUCUUGAGUAGUGCAGAGGUAGGCGGAAUUCCCGGUCUAGCGGUGGAAUGCGUAGAUAUCGGGAGGAACACCAGUGGCGAAGGCGGCCUACUGGGCACCAACUGACGCUGAGGCUCGAAAGUGUGGGUAGCAAACAGGAUUAGAUACCCUGGUAGUCCACACCGUAAACGAUGAUUACUAGGUGUUGGAGGAUUGACCCCUUCAGUGCCGCAGUUAACACAAUAAGUAAUCCACCUGGGGAGUACGACCGCAAGGUUGAAACUCAAAGGAAUUGACGGGGGCCCGCACAAGCAGUGGAGUAUGUGGUUUAAUUCGACGCAACGCGAAGAACCUUACCAAGUCUUGACAUCCCUUGACGAUGCUGGAAACAGUGUUUCUCUUCGGAGCAAGGAGACAGGUGGUGCAUGGUUGUCGUCAGCUCGUGUCGUGAGAUGUUGGGUUAAGUCCCGCAACGAGCGCAACCCUUAUGGUCAGUUACUACGCAAGAGGACUCUGGCCAGACUGCCGUUGACGAAACGGAGGAAGGUGGGGAUGACGUCAAAUCAUCAUGCCCUUUAUGACUUGGGCUACACACGUACUACAAUGGCGUUAAACAAAGAGAAGCAAGACCGCGAGGU